rnacentral:rRNA from 1 species
UACGUAGGGGGCAAGCGUUGUCCGGAUUUAUUGGGCGUAAAGAGCUCGUAGGCGGUUUGGUAAGUCUGGUGUGAAAUCUCCACGCUCAACGUGGAGGGGCCACCCGAUACUGCCAUGACUGGAGUCCGGUAGAGGAGAGUGGAAUUCCUGGUGUAGCGGUGAAAUGCGCAGAUAUCAGGAAGAACACCCGUGGCGAAGGCGGCUCUCUGGGACGUGACUGACGCUGAGACGCGAAAGCGUGGGGAGCGAACAGG